UACAGAGGGUGCGAGCGUUGUCCGGAAUCACUGGGCGUAAAGGGUGCGUAGGUGGCGGGGUUAGUCAGGUGUGAAAUCUCGGAGCUCAACUCCGAAACUGCACUUGAUACUGCCUUGCUUGAGUACUGGAGAGGAGAUUGGAAUUUACGGUGUAGCAGUGAAAUGCGUAGAUAUCGUAAGGAAGACCAGUGGCGAAGGCGAAUCUCUGGACAGUUACUGACACUGAGGCACGAAGGCCAGGGGAGCAAACAGG
rnacentral:rRNA from 1 species